GUUUGGAGGCAGCACGAAGAAUUUUCACCUCAGAGGCGAGGCCCUACCGUCUUUGUUCCUUCCCGUUGCAAAGGUAAGUCCACAAACAGGUCGUGUGCUGCUCGUCGGGCACGAUUUCAGAACUAUGCUCUUUGAGCACUACCGUACCGCUAUCUAUGUGUUCGGACUAGAUAAAAAUUUUGGAGAAGUCCACAGAGUAUAGCGGCUGGCAUGUUUCCUAUACAAUGAGCGCAAAUAGACCUACCCUAGCAAAUAAUUGAGCUCGCGGCCUCCAGGUAUAGUGCGACCGGACUGCUUGGUUCUAGCACGUCGAUCGGCAAGAGCUCGGCGUUCUAUAAAUAAUCGUAGUAUCCGUCGUUCUGAGGGUGCACGGUCAAGCUUGUAAUGUAGCUGUGACAGUGCAUGUUAUCGGCUUUCACGCACUUUUAUCAAGCGCAAUGCACGUGCAGAAAGCGAAACUAGACUGCGAAUGCGCCGAUACGAAUGCAAUCAGCACGGUGGGAAACAUUGUUGUCCUUCAUGUGCGUUUCGAUGGGGACGAAAUGCGAAAACACCCGUGUACUUAGAUUUAGGAGCACGUUAAAGAACCCGAGGUGGUCCAAAUUAUUCCGGAGUCCCCACGGCGUGCCUCGUAAUCAGAUCAUGGUUUUGACACGUAAAACCCCAUAAUCUAAUUUUUUUAUGUGUGUGCGCUGCCAAACAAGUUGCUGCUUUCUUGCAGGGUCAUACACCACCUCGGGAAAGCGUGACAGAUCGUGUCGAUGUAUUGAAAACCUCCGCCAGCCAGACAGCCACAAGAAAAACCACAAGAACAGUGGAAACCCAGACGACACCAGAAUGCCAGUCUGUUGCCACGCAGGUGCAAAUGACCAUGAAAAUCAUGGUUUCCACAGCGACACAGACGAAGCAUCCCUCCACCACACAAAGUGCAGUGCUGAAUCAGCGUGAAGCUGCAUGCCCUGAAGCCCAAAGAGACACUGCAAUACAAGUCACCCCACUACCAUUGCUCCCAGCAGACUUCAGACCUCUCCGUGGUUCAACGCCUGUGCCAAUGGAGAUGGAUGACUCUUGUGCAGGUGAUGAAGACAAGCCAGCAGCUCAAGAAGACACCAGCUAUGUGCCAUCAUUCAGCGAGAGCUUCUUCAGGUAUCUUGUGCAUUAAAAUACAGUAGACUCACAACAAAAUAAAUCUCUCACAAUUUUUCAUAACAGUGCAUGAGUGAACCCCAGAAUGCUAAUCGUAUUAACAAAAUCUGAGAACAAACUACACAAAAGGUUUACAUAAGAACUGGACAAAUGCAAUUAUUAUAGAAAAACAUCACAAUACAAACGGACAAGCGCGAGAGCAUAUCAGCAAAGGUCAGGAACUUUACAAACAUACUAAUUCAAAAAGAACAGAAGCGAGAAAACGUUAAAUGGAAAGCAAAGAUUGCAAUUAUAAUUUAAUGACUGCCUUCCGAUAGCUUAUUGAGCGAGUAUUUCGUGCAGGGUGUGUCAACAUAUACCAAUGGUUUAAUUUUAUCAUGUACAGAAUUCCAUAAUGACGUGCCAGAGAAGACAGCAGUUCAUUUGCCAUGCUUUGUUCAAAUGGCAGGGUAGAAGCAAGUUAUUGUUGUAGAAAACCUGGAAAUGUUAGUAAUCUUGAGAUUGUUUGGACAAGCCAAGUAAAGAUAUGAAUUUUUUUUUUACUUUGGAGAUAAAAAGUGAUAGCUUCUGUUUAAACAGCGCUGUGUGUGGCUUUUUUCGUUUGUCCCUUUCCCUCACGAUGUUUUUUUUUUUUUAAACAUGAACUACCAACAUAUCCAACUCUUUACCCUUCAUAGCCCUCAUAGACGCUAUAUGAUACUCAAGCUGUGAUAGGGGGCUAGAGUGACUGCAACUUAGAGUGCCAUAUGUGUGGAAACAACUAUAGAUGCGAAAAGGCAGCAGAAUUCUCUUGAGAAGCAUGUGGCUAAACUCUGUUUCAUACACAGGAGGCGAGGCAGACAGCUUUUAGAUGGCAUGUCUUGCAACGAGCAAAAUGGUAGCAAACUAACUGGUGCCACCAUGCAUCGUACAAUUCCAAAUAGACAUAUGAGCACCCAAGUACUGACUUGUUUUUUGAUGCCAUUUGGUAUGGCCCGUAUACUUUGGGAAUGUCAACGCCCUGAAGAAGGACCAAGAGGAAGGGGGAAGAUAACAGCAGGACCCUCUGAAGCGGGGCGCCUCGAUAAGAGAUGGCAAGCCGCCCUCCUCAGCGAGGCACCCGAGGACCAGGAGUGGGCCGUCCAGCGGGCCAGGGCC